rnacentral:lncRNA from 1 species
GCGUCUCCGGGGUUAUUCGUACCGCGUUGCUCUUAUGAUUUUCAAUCCAUAUUUUGAAAUUUUAAUUGUAUGUUUGUUUUGUCUGUUCGCAGCGGCCGAAAUCCGAGUCGGGCUCUCUAUCAAGCGGUCACAGCGAGGACUCGGACCGGGACUCGCCCCUGGGGCCGCCCACCCCGACGCCGACGCCCACCACCGGCUCGACGCCCGUUCCCCCGACGGGCGCCCACUCUCGCUCCCCCGCAUGACGACCUUCGAGUCGGGCCUCAACGCCUCCAUGAUGGCCGCCUCCCUGGCCGCAGUGGCCGCCUUCUCCACCUCGAACCCGGGCGCCAAGCCGGGCCUCUACCCCGGCGGCCACGCCCUCUUCCCGCCCUGGUACCUCCCGCCCACCGCGGCCGCCGCCUCCGCCAACCUCGCCGAGGCCCUCCGCCUGGAGGCCAAGGAGUCCGCCGAGCCCCGCGCCCCCUCCACGCCCACGCCUACCGGGACGCCCUCCGGGACGCCCACCGGAGCCGCCCAAGGCAACGCCGAGAUGCCCCUCGACCUUAGCGCCAAGUCCUCGUCCCUCAACUCGCCCUCGGAGACCAAGUCCAGCUCCCCGGACGCCCACGACAUUCCUUCUCUCCAGCACCUCAUCAGUCGGCCGCCUCGCCGCAGUCUCCCCGCGUGCCUCUCCUCACCAGUCACCAACAAAUCUUUAAGGCUAAACCCCGGCUCAGUGCCGUGGCGGGACGACGGACCUACACGGAGGAGGAGCUCCAGGCGGCGCUGCAGGACAUCCAGAGCGGGAAGCUCGGCACCCGACGGGCGGCCGUCAUCUACGGGAUCCCGCGCUCCACCCUCCGCAACAAGGUCUACAAGCUGACGAUGGAGCGGCGGCAGGACUCGCACAUCGGCAUAACCUCAAACAGCAACCUGGCCGGCAACCUCGCCGACGACGACGACGGCAUCCGGGACGAUGACGACGCCAUGCGAGACGACGACGCCGAGCUCUCCGGCGCCGAGGAAGAGAGGGAAGUAGAGAAAACCUUACUAAAACCCCUAAUUUCAGUUGAGGAUCUAAUCCGGCUCUCCGCCGAGGGACCGGCACCCACCGACUCCCUGCGGACGCUCCUCCAGCAGGGUAGCAAACUGGACCGACCCAAGAGGGAGGAGUCUGCACACUCACCACCAGUUUACCCAUACUUCCCUCCUAACCUAGAACAAUUGUGGAGCGGGCUGGAUCAGUCCGCGCUGGCACCGUACCUGGCCCAGAUCCUCGCCGCAGGUGGCAACAACCUCAACGCAGCGCUCCUGGGGCAAAUCAGUCCCUUCCUGGCGGCUAGCGCCAGGCAGAGGCAUCCACCGGUACCAGAAGAGCGCCCAGCGUCCGCAUCCCCGUCUGCUCCUGAUUUCGUACCUAAGUUUCCUCCCCAGGCGCAUCUCUCCGACCUGGUCCGACGCAUGAUGGCCGAGGAGAAGAUGCUCCUCGAGGAGCAGCAGAAGAAGGACCCGCGAUCCUUCCAGAUCAACGGGUCCAGGACUCGGAGCCGCGGGCGUCUUCGUCGGGGCUCCCGAGCAGCAAAGACGACGAGAACUCGGCGUCCAACGUUAUACUGAAAAUUCCGUCCUUCAAGCCCGCUUCCAAGAACGGCCUGGAAAACUCCUUCCAGUCGCCGGACUUCCCCUAGGUGUAA